GCCUGUUCCCAAAUCCAGACCAUCACUUUGUCUUCCCAGGAGGAGAAGGAAGGCCAUGCCCAUCAAAGUCGAGGAGGACCAUUACGUAGAGCUGCAGCCGUAUGAAAACUCAGACAUUUACAGUAUGAUCAAGGGGAGAUCUCUGUCAGAAGAAGAGGCAGGUACAGGUGGUCAGGAAAAAGAGCCAGCAUCCUCACAUCUGCCCACCCUGGAGUCCUCAGGAGACUGACCGAGCAGUGUGGAAGUGGAGAAGAUGGGGAUUAAGAUACCUGGAUCAGUGGUGAUAGCGCUUCUCAUUGCCUCUUCUUGAGUCUCGGUCCUGCACAGCUGGAAGCAGAACUGCAUGUAUCUUGUGCUGUGUUAUUGCUCUCAUCCAUGUUUUCAGUAAGUUCCUGCACGCUGUAUUACAGAGCAGGAGCAGCCCAAGGCCUGCAAUGAGCUGUUUGUGCUGGCUAAGUGUCCUCCAGCACCUGGCACUGCCCAGUCCUGACUCAGGGCUUCCCAGCCCCUCUCCACCUUCUGCACCUGUACCCAUUGAGCCCCAGAACUCAGCUGGAGUUCAGCCCAAGUGCACUGCCCUUGCAGCUGUGCUGCUGUGCCUGAAGAGCCAAUAAACUGUUCUGGUUUUCAGA